GAUAAAGAAAAUUUUUCUUUUUGUUGUUUUUAAUAAUCCUUUGCUUUCUUUCUCUUUGACAAACUAGUAGAGGCAUCUCCACCACUUCUAAUCCCAACACAGAAGGACGCCAAAAAAGGGUGUUGCGCAGAUAGGCUUUUGAAGGUUUGGACAAAGAAGAAAAAUUCUCAACAGAGGGAGGCUCAAGAAGAUGAUUUGAUCUGAUAAGAGUUGAGUGGAAAUCCGCAAAAGAAGAAAGUUUUGUACUUUUCCUAUAUCAAGCACGUGUGAAUAGUGAAUAGAGAGGUGAAUAUUGAAGCUGGCAAAAUAAUGGAGUCAGAUCUUCAGCAACAGCCGCAGAUAAAUUCUUCAGGUUUGACACGGUACCGAUCAGCACCAAGUUCGUAUUUUACAGAUAUCAUUGACCGAGAGUUCUACGAGCACAUUUUUAAUCGCCCAUCGAGCCCUGAAACAGAGCGAGUUUUCUCACGCUUUAUGAAUAGUCUAGGUAGUGAUGGUGCAGCAGCUGAAGAAGAUUCACUCACUCAAAAACUCUCACCACCUGAUUCUGCAGUGAAGGAAGAGAUUAACCAGCAGGGUGAGGCUAUGCCCUCCAUCAACAGUGACCACAUGAUUCUUCAGCAGAACAAUAUCAAUAAUUUUUACCAAAGUUCAUCGAGACCACCUUUGCCAAAUCAAAGCCUUCCCGCAAAUAUUGAAGGAACGUAUUCAAUGGGAGUUAAUCGGUUGCCGGAGAUGAAGGUUGGUGGUGGAACUGGAAAUAAUUCUAAUCUUAUUAGGCAUAGUAGUUCACCAGCAGGACUAUUUUCCCAAAUCAACAUUGAAAAUGGCUAUGCUGGUAUGAGUGGCAUGGGAACUUUAGGAGCUGUUAAUAACCCUAUUGAAGAAUCAAAAUUUUCUACUGCAAAGAGGUUGAAGAACCCACCAAACUACUCAUCAGGGAGAAUGUCUUCAAUAGCUGACAUUGGGGACAAAUUAGGCAAUGGAGAAAAUAAUCAAGACAGUGAAGCUUUUGCUGAAAGCCAUGGUAACGAUUUUAUGACAGGUUUCUCGGUUGAUCCCUGGGAUGAUUCUCCGGUGAUGUCUGACAAUGUUAGCGGUCUAAAAAGAUUUAGAGAUAAUGAUGCAAAACCAUUUUCUGGUUUAAAUGCAGCCGAGACUCAGAAUGAAACUGGUGGACAGUCUCAUGCUCCUUUGGUUCAUCAGUUGAGUUUGCCAAAUACUUCAGCUGAAAUGGCAGCCAUUGAGAAGUUUCUGCAGUUCCCAGAUUCUGUUCCGUGCAAAAUUCGUGCCAAGCGGGGCUGUGCCACUCACCCAAGAAGCAUUGCAGAGAGGGUUAGAAGAACUAAAAUUAGUGAGCGUAUGAGGAAACUACAAGAUCUCGUCCCAAACAUGGACAAGCAAACAAACACAGCCGACAUGUUGGACUUGGCUGUGGAUUAUAUCAAAGACCUUCAAAAGCAAGUUCAGACGCUUUCGGAUUGUCAAUCUAAGUGUACGUGUUCACAAAAGCUGGAACAAUAACAGAAAAGAGGGAGAUACAAGAGUCUUUGUACAGAUUUGUAAUAGUUUGGUUACGAAGCAAGAAUCUAGAAUAGCUUUUCUCUGUUUCUGCACUUACAAUGGUUAAUUUAUGGGUUAUGUUUAUCUUAUUUUACAUGAGAUAAACAACUCUCCUACACAAAAAGAGUUGGGUCCCACCACUCUCUUUUUUCUCUCCUCUUAACCGCAGGUCUUUUAAUUUAUAUGCCACUUCUUCAACGGGAGGUGCAGGAGAAAAUUCCUUUAUAAAAGUUGACUUUUUAUGCACAUGAGCAACUAUUUAUGUACAAAAUUUCAAGGCCCCAUUUUAGGGGACGAAAAUAUUGCGGUGUGUUGGAUAAAGCCAAUUCGGUGGUUAUCUUUUCCAUUUUUGGGUUCAUUAUCUCAAGUCAUUUAUGAAUGGCUCUGCGUUGUUGUGAAGAUUGUUGUUUUGGAUGCUAUCCAUCCCCAAUAUGAAUUCACUAACUCUAAUGAAUAAUAACUUCAAUGACGUGGAUCCGAAUUGCAACAGAGAGUACACGUUAGCUUAACUUGUAGAACUAGUACUUUGAGACUCCAUGUGCUUUUAAGAGAGAAAGUUAUGAUAGAACACAGCUGGAGGCAAUGGACAGAACGAGUCAGAAUAUCCAUAUUGGGCCAACUGUGGGGUCCAAAACCAUUUAAGUGAAGGCCAUGUCACAGAUGAUGUCAGAAUGCAGCAAAAGUUACCCUAAAACGUCAAAUAAAUGUGGGAUCGUUGUCCAAGGUAGGAGAAUUUCUUCGCUACUAUUAUUGUAUUGAAU